CAGAGGCAGUCCUUAGCUGGCGUCAGACUUGCGGCUGGAGGCACGGCUGGUGUGCCUGGUGUCCAGUGCCACCUUGUCCUGCUGCUGCCACCCUGGCGCCGCGAGCUCUGUGCCGAUGCUCCCUUCACCCUGUCUUGGGACGGCCGGCACUAAAAAUUCAUGCUGCGACACUCGAUUCAGCCAGGAGGUGAUAAAAAUUGCGAUUCGAAGCCAUGCCACUGGUGAAGAGGUAUCUUGAGCCCUGCCUGCCCCAGUGAGGUUACUAGACAAUUAGGAGAGGCUCAAAUCAGCAUUUUGCACGUGGUUGUGAAACCAUUGUGAACUCUUGACGUUUCUUUCCAGGUUCAGCUUUGGACAUCCAGGCCCCUCUGCGUUCAGCUCUUCAGCCUCCAUUUGACUUCGCAUUUCAUGCACUGCAGAGUUAAGUCAGGAAAGAAAACGGCUGUGCACAGAGGGAGAGCCGAGCAUUGUCUAUCCUUCAGAGACACCCCUGUGGCAGGCACACCCUAAGGUAGCUUUCCUCAGAAUCUGGAGGUGCCUUCAGAUCCAAGGAGCACGGUGCUAGGACGAGGCCUCAUUUGGCAUUAUUACACUUUCCAUGGUCAACAACCUGUUGCUGCUUUGGCAUAGUGCUUUGAAGAAAUCAAGCAUCAGUCCAAGAAGAAAUGUGAUCAAAGCAGCUGUCUUCACAUCACCGCAUCUCCCUGGCAAGGCCCAACCAUACCUCUGCCCUCUUAAUGCUGGUCCUGGUUGUGUGUAUUAUGGGGAUCAGUGAUGGCGUAUGCUCUGGGUGAAUUCAAGCACUGGGAGAGGGACUACUUCUGGCUGUCAUUUAGAGAAGUAGAAAAGGGGUGGUUUUCUGUAAUGUCACGCUGAUAGGGAGCAGCAUGGAGGGGAGGUAUAUACCCUGUAGGAAUCGGAAAACAGGUUUUUGUCACCGCUCAAUGCUCAGUAUGUUGCAAAUAGAGUUUUGGGACCAUCAUCUUCAUAUACAAGUCCCAACUUGAGAUGCCUCCAUUAUGGUAUCCAAGAGCCCUCUCCUCCCCUCCCCUGGCUUUUCAUGCCCUAGGGGACUCAUGGGCCAGCCUGUGUCCUGCCAGUGUGUCCUGAGUAUCUAUGAUUGUGCUCAAUUUGGGAGAAGGGUGGGGAAUCAGCAGUAUUAAGAUCUUAAAAGACUUUGUGUAUUUCAAAUGCCUCAAAGAAUCUUACAGUCUGGUACAUGCAGGACAUUGAAGCAACAAAUACACAUAACUAGAGACAUACUAACUUCACUCGAAGCACGUAGUUCCCAUGCUUUCCACUUGAACUUAAGAGAGGUUAAGUAAACGCAGUAGUGCUGCGUGCAUGCUAGAGUUGGGCGGUCUUAAGGAAUACCAUAGUUGUGUUAGGGCCACAGCACGUGGUAAAUAAUGUAGUGACAGGGUUUUCAGUCAGUAGGAUGGUUGCAGACACUGACCUGCAGAAUAACUUGGAACAAGUUUAUGAUGAAAAGAAAGACUGCUUUCAUCGGGAGGAGGACUGAGCCUGAUGCAGUUUGUCUGUGGUGCCCUCAGAAAUUGAUGAAGGACAUGUCUGCUAGUACUGAAUUCUUUUGAUUUUUGUUUAUCUGGGAAUGUCACAAUUUGUCCUUCAUUUAUCAAGGAUAUUUUUGCUGGAUACAGAAUUCUCAGUUAACAUUUUUUUCUUCAGUAGUUUAAAUAUGUUAUAUCGCUAUUUUUUGGUCUCAAUGGUUUAUGACGAGAAGUCAGUUUUAACUUAUUGAGGAUCCAUUGAACAUGGAGACCUUUAGAAACUUGUGAAGUUUUCAGUACAAAUACCACUGGAAUUGCAAUUGGAAUGGCAUUGAAUAUAUAGGUUAACUUUUGGAGAGCUAUCGUCUUUGUACUCUUCUCACACAUGCUUCUUCUCUCUGCUGCCUUUUGAGCUGCCAGGCAGUGUGCUGGGUGAUGGGGAUAUGGAGACGAACUAGAUACAGUCCCUGCCCUCAAGGACUUCUCAGUUUAAUGAGAGAGUUCGAUAUGUACAACAGUAUGGUAUGCUCCACAAUGGAGGUAUGUAUAAGGUACUAAUGGGGUUCAGAAGAGAAAUCAUUUGACUGAGUCUGGAGAUGCUAGAGGUUGGAGGAAUUAGUGCUUAAGUUCAUUCUUAAAAGAAGUAAAGAUUGACUGGGCAGAAAACAGAUGGAAGGACAUUCUAACCAAAGGCAUGGACACUGGAAAUAGAAUAAUGAAUUGGGAACUACAAGUGGUUCAUGAAAUUAGGUUGGAAAUGUAGGCUGAGAAUAGAUUCUUAGAUAGUAUGCCAUGAAAUUUAGAUUUCAUUUUGAGUGUUUUAAGAAGGGGGAGCUUUCGGUAGUCACUCUGCCAGUAGUAUGGAGUAUGUUCUGGAAGAUUUUCAAAUCUGGACAGGGAGAUCAGUUAGGAGGAAACUAUAGUAAAGGUGAUAAAUGAUCUAAGGCCACAAGAAAUGGGAGUGGAGAAGGGAUAACCUCUUAAGUAAGAUUAUAAAAACACAGACAUAAUAGAACAUGGGAAAAUUAAGGUGGUGAAGAGUGGGAAGAAAAUCAAGGCUUUCAGACUUUGGCAAACGUGCACCCUCCUACUGCCAGCCCUGGUCUUGAUGGAAGAUCCUCUGAUGUUCUUUAAAUGAGUGUUGCUGUGACCAGGGCUUGGCUGUACAGAUUUUGUAAGUUUCAUUCUCAGGAAAACAUCUGAACAGCUGCAGGGCUCUUAUAGUAUUACUAAGUUCUAUCUAAAACCCACUCAGGGAAGAAAUGGCCUUAUUAUUGUGUCGAUAGCUUUAUUUUGCUUAGGGAUUUAAAAAUGUUCAUGGCUACAACUCCAAGUAAAAAAUACAUUCAAUAAUUGAAAACCUAAACAUGUCCAGUGUUUUUCUCUUUUGUCAAAGCAAUAUAAACACAGUUUUCUUUGGGAAAGUCUGCACUUAAGGCUCAGAGCAGUGACCCUGGGGAUUCAGAGAAUGACUUUCUGUGACUAGAAUGAUUAAUAAUAGAUUAUAUUUAAGUAGGCCUUAUGCAUUUUCAGUGGACCUUAUGUAACUAGCCAUCCUGAAGGGGAAUAGUAAGAAGACGGGCUGGGAGACGAAGUCCUGAGCAGGAUGGCAAAGCAGCACAGUGAGAAUUUGGGCCUUGGGACUAGAUAGCCUGGGCUCCAAUCUGCUGUGACAUGUUUUCACCUCAAAUGCAAAAUAGGGAUUAUAAUAUCUUUUUGCAGUGAUUUCAGUGAAGGGGGGGACGGUAAAGAUUUAAUGAGACUAUUUAUGUAAAUUGCUUAGAACAGGUCUGGAAUAUGCUGCUGAUAAUGAUGGUAACCAUGACAAGGAUAAAAGCAGACAGUUAACGAGAGGGUGCUUGUACUUGACAUUGUCAAAUAGGUUGGGAAACCAGAUGAAUUUUGUCCAUGCCCUGAUCGCUAAUGUAUUGCCUUUGUUCUUAUUUCCAAGUAGAAAGCUGUUGAAAAGUUGUGUAACAUCUGAAUAGGGGUUAUCUUAAAAACAUAGACAAAUGCUUUGGAAAUGGUCAAAACUGGAUUUGAAACGUGACUCAACUGCUUACUAGCCGUGUGAUCUAAGGCGUUACUUAACCUCAUUGAACUUCAGUUUCUACAUUUAAUACAAUAACUAAUCUGCAGGGUUUCCAUGAGUAUAUUUGUAAAGUGUAUGCCAAAAGCACUCUAUACAUUAUAGCUAUUAUUGUUAGUUCUUGGACACUCACCGCGUGACAGAAACAACAGCAGGCCCUGGUGGCUGGGAGGACUUCAUGGAUCCAACAGCAGCCUGGAGUUGUGCUCUUCUGAAGAAAUCCUACUCGGAUGGAUAUAAUACAACCUGCUAAGUGUCCUAGCACUUAGCAGGUUGUAUUAUCAUUGUCCGUGUCUAUGGCUCUCGUCUACCAGACUCCAAAUUCCUUACGUGCAAGGACAAUGCCUUAUUCAUCUUUGUAUUCGCAGUGCCUAAUCCAGUGCACAUUGUAGGUCUCAUUAAAUGUUUGUUGAAUGAAAAAAUGAAUCAUCAACAGACAUUAAUUGGGCGCCUGCUCUGUGAUCUCCAUGGGCUGAACUUCUCCCCGCCAGUUGCCUACAACGUCCAAGCUGUCUUCAAUGUGCUUUCUCCUGAAGCUUACUCCUGUCUUCUAAUUCUUUUGUGGAGGAUUUUUCUGUGUAGUGCAAAGAUAGCAAAUAUACUUCAUCUCAAGGACCAUCUCCAAUUGAUUGAUAGUGUUUUCUAAAAAGGUUCUGAAGCCAGGUCUCAGCUCAGUGUGAACAGGGUUUAUAACUAAUUAGUGAUGCUUGCUGAGGGUGGGGGAAGAGGGAGCAGUAAUACAUGUGCCACAUACAUGUCAUUUAAUAUUGUGUUUUCCGUAAAAUACUCUUGUUUCUAUGCCUGCGUUUUCGUCAUGGCUAUUUGCAAGGUGUUCCUUGUGUAGGACCAGAGUGAUCGCUGAUCAGCAACUUCAUCCUCAGUCUGGAAUUUGCUCCUGUGGCUGGUAUUCACAAUUUCCCCCUUGCAGCUUUACCUCAGCCAUCCCCUUACCUACACUGACAGGUAGGCCUCCACUUUCUGUUCAGCACUCAACAGGUUCAUAUUUCCGUUUUCUUCCUUAGUGUGAUAAGUCAUUAUUGCUCCAUGAGAAGCCUGCUUUCUGUGAGAAGAUAGGACAACUAGAAUACAAGUUAAACCAUUCUUCCAGGGCCCUACAGUGAGUCAUCUAAGCUGUGUUAAUAAGGGAGAAAAUUGAAUGUGGUUGCAGGCAAGGGCAGGAAGAACCGAGAAGGUAGUCAUUGUAGAUGUGAGACAGAGAGGUGAUAACAGAUGGAAUAAGAUACUGAAAGAUGAUGCAGGUAGGUGGGAGGGUGAAAGACCUAUGGCUCUAGAAUGUGGCUGGAGGGUUAGCCUCAGGUGAAAGGAACUACCUGUUCACUGGAGCAUAGGGAUAGGGAUAGGAAGGACACCUAACAAGGGUGUUGAAGAUUUCUAAUUGUAGAGGUAAAUGAUGGAGAGCAAGAUGAGCAGCGACAGGAUUGUGUAGGCAAACUAGAGUUUCUAAGGAAUAUCCAAAAUGUCUGGCCUAAAGUCUGAGUGAGGCCAUUAACAGGAGAGCUUCUAUUAUAUCAAAGUGAAGAACUAGUUUCAAACUUGCAUAGAAACUCAGGAAAAUAGAAAGUGUUCUUGGGCCAUGGUCACAGGCAACAUUUGGUUGCCUGGGACUGACCUUGACUGAUUGAAGAGUACACAGUUAGCAAGAGGACUUACACAGAAAUGGAUCUGAGAAUCCAGACUACAUGGAAGGACAUUAGAUCAGAAGUGAGCUCAGAGUCUGUGAACAAAGAGGGGACUAGUGUGAUCAAAAUAGUUGACUAGUUGGAAAACUGGAAUGAUAGGACCUGGAAUCACAAAGUAGAUUUUGUAAUGUUAAGAUUUCACAACUGGAGUAGUCUCGAUACCUGUGAAGCAGCUAGGACAUCAAAUGGUCAUUUAUAUGGAUAUUUAAGUGACCCAUGGUUACAGUAAAAGCUUGGCUGGGGUGAACACUGUGGGCCCGAUACAAGAGGCUUCAGUGAGUGAGAAAUGAUGUGGAGGUUGGCAUUGGGGUGGAGUAUGAGCCUCGGAAGAGUGGCGGGGAUUACUAGAAGAUACAGACCAGUUUGCACAUUGCACUAAGGUUUUGGCCAGCAGAAUGAAUGCCAGAGAAAAUGAUCCAUAGUGAGUACCUUUUGCCGGCACCUUGCUAUAUGCUAUCCAUUUACCCAUUUUGGGUCUGUCACCUUUUAGAUGUGACGGUGAGCAGCAAUCCCAGGGGAGGACAGCUAGGGGAGCCGCUGGCCGUAGCACUGAUGGAGUCCUGUGGAUAUCUCCUCUAACUCUUUGAAAGAGCAGCAGACUGGUCAACUUGAAGUGGCAUAAAGAUUUAGGAUUAAUUUUUUUCCUUGACCUUGACCUAACUUCAUUGAAUGGUACAAGCUUUUGUUGGCUGUGCUCCGUAAUGUACUUUAGCCUCUGAGUGUCUAAGUUGAGGUAUGAGCUAAUACUGUCUUUCAAAAAAUCCAGGCACGGAACUUUAAAAACACAUAUUGAGUAACUAGAACAAGACACACAGUCCUAUUAUCUAAUUGAGCUUUAAAGAUGAAGGGAUCCAUCCUGUUUAAACCCUACUGUAGCUGUUUCUGUUCUGUUGGGAAGGAGGCCUAGAAAUUGAUGCAGAGGGAUGACCCUUAGGACUUGGAAGGUAAAGAUUAGAAGAGUGUCUGUGAACCCUCUGACAUUGCAUGCAGUCAAUUUUCUUGUUAUGAUCUUCAAAUGAACCAAUAUUCCAGGAAAGGUUUGGAGGCACUGUGUUUGAGUGGCCAGGACUUCAGACAGCCCACCCCCUCCUGUGGGGGCUGCUUUAUAUUUAUUCCUUAGGAGGAGCUGCUGGAAGACUUCAUGUGAGAGAAGAAAAGGAAAGAAGCAGAGGAUAAUUACAGCCUCUUUUCAUCUGAGCUUCACAAAGCAUGAUUCAACAGAGGGAUCACUCUCCUGAGACUCUCCAGACCACAGGAUAGAUGAGCCAGAAGCAGUGGGCAGAAUGGCUCCAGGCAACCCCAGUCAUCAGAUACGGCAUAAGGGAACUAUAUAAUGAAAGGUCAAUCCUUGGACCUACUGUCAUUCUCCAGAGCAUGAUGGAAUAAAGAAGAGCUGCUUUGCAGAAGGGUUGUAAAAGAUCCUUUCACAGAAGAGAUUUAGACGAGGUGAAAUUUCCAGCUACGUAAGAUGGGCUUUUAAAGACAUCUGUUCCCUACAUGGGUCAUGGAGAUGGAUCCCAGUAUCAGCCUGGGGCUGACUAGGCCAGUUUAACUUGGUUUCAUGCUCUUGGAGUGAUUGCUGCCACUCUGUCUCCCUUUGGCAGGUGUUCAUCUGCAGUGAGUCCUGAAGGAGCAAGAGGACAAGCAGCCAGGGACAACACUGUGGCCUUCUGAGUGAAGACAGCAACUGAAAAGAUGAUGCAAUGGACUAGAGUGAAGACAAUGAGCUGCCGCUGAGAUGCCAAGGGGCAGCCAGAUGGCUCAGUUGGUUAGAGCACAAGCUCUCAACAAGGUUGCUGGUUUGACUCCCACAAGG